rnacentral:lncRNA from 1 species
CCCGGCUAAAUGGACACAGGAAAGGCCUGAGUCAGGCUUCUCAUAAUAAAUAAACUGCACGUGAAUAAUUCAGCAGUCGCGCGGGGGCCGGUUGCAUCAGCGCCGCCGCCGCCGCGCGGCGCCCAAUUCCCCGCGGAGGGGAGUAGCCAAUUAAGGCACUUGAAAAGGGAGUCGGGUGGAAGAUCCCCCGCCCACCAGUAUCCUGGAUUUACCCAGGUCGAGUUCAGAGAGCCUCCCCGGUCCCAACCCCCUCGGGCCCCAUGGGUCAGGGGGCCGCCUGCUGGGAAGUGCUACCUCAGCUAAGCCGCUCAGGUGUCCCGAGACUCCGGGCAAGGGAAGACAGGCGGCGAGACGGAGCCAGAAUAAGGGAUGCGGACGUCUGACCUGUGGAAAACCCAGCAUCUGCAGUGCCCAGCCGCACAGGGAACGUGGGCGGCGUGGUUCCAAGCACAGUGAAGACGCCAGGCUCGGAUCUGUGCUCAGAGCCGGGAUCCCUCCGGGCUGCUUCGUCCUGGCCAGGACUUUCCUUGCCCUGAAGUGAGGCGCCAGGGAAGCUGCAGGGCCCUCCGCCCUCUCUGAACUCCCACGUACUUGGGCCUCUCCCAGCCUUUCUUGGACCUGUGGAAGCAAUUCCUGCAGGACCAGACUCCCCUGUCUCCCCGCGGCCCCCUAGGUACACUCCGUAACUUCCGAAACCUUAUUUCGUUUGAGCGAAACCCGGCCCCUUUGGCUCUUCCCACUUCCCACAAGUCCCUGGGUUCCCGAUCCUGAGGGAUUGCAUUCAUCCCAUCUCACACCCACCAACGCUCAAUCCCUCCAGUUCCUCCCCAGCCCCUUCACUUCCAUUAAUUAGGUCGACUCCCUUCCUUCGCCGCUCCCUCCUGUCCCCACUCAGCCUCCCUACACCUAUGCGGCGAGCCUCGGGCCAAGACCUCCGCCCUGGCUCCGCCAGUCCUGCGGGGGCCGGCAUGCACCAGACCUCAAAAGGGAUCUUCACGGGAAUUCCGCAUAGCCAGAUCCCAAGCCUCCAGGGAGGCCACCAGCCCUCCCCCAUCUUCUUCUUCCUCCUCCGUCUCCUUUCCUCUUCCCUCCGCCUCUACGUAUUUCUUUCUAUUCGUUUCUUUUCGUUUGGUGAGGUGCCACCCGCCACAGCCCUGUCCCCUAGGGAGAGGCCUGGACUAACUUUGCCGUCCUCGUGGCCUUAGCCCGGACUGUGAGUCUCGAGCGGCUUCCGAGAGGCAGCUCGGGUGUCUUCGCAGAGACAGAUGAGGUGGGCUGGCGAUUCCCUAGCCUCAGAUGGCUCUGCCACCAGCCAGCUCUGUGAUCCUGGCCGAUGGGGUGCCAGGCAUUAGAAACCUUCCCUCCAAUCCUCACCAUGUCUCCAUUUUGCCAAAGAAGAAACUGAGGUUAAGGUCGCGAUGCUCUGGCCAGCAUCACAGGGCAGCAGAGUGGAAGCCAGGGCCUGGGACCCUCUGGCUGGGCAAGGAGGGACUGGAGUCCGGCUCCCGGUGACCCCGUCCCCAGUGCCAGCGGUGGGGUCGCCUGUGGCGGCCCGGACAGGCCACGGGUCCCUCUCCCCAAGUCCCAUUACGUUGUAUUUAUGUUUCAUUUUAUAGUUUUUUUUUCCUCCUCCCUUAUUAUUGUCUCACUCUGGGGGAGGCAAAGGAUAUAAUAUAUUCAUCUUUAUUAUACCAAAUCUGUGUGAAGCAUUUAAUAAAACGCUGUUUCCACACAGCCAGGGAU